CACUGUUCACUAUCUAGUGUGUGCAGACAAGCCUACAAUCGUCAGUGGCCUCGGUGCUGUUCCCAAGUCAGACUCUAAUGACAUCAGAGUGAUCCACGACUGCAGCAGGCCCGCGGGCGGGAGCGUUAACGACUGCGUGUGUACGAAUCAUGUGACCUAUCAUAGUAUAGAUAAAGCUGUUUCGCUCCUACCCAGAGACGGGUAUAUGGCUUAGAUCGAUCUCAAACAUGCUUAUCGUAGCGUUCCUGUACAUCCAGACUUGCUUUAAUGUGGC